GGGCUGGGCUGGUUUGGUUCGGGCCGAUCGCCACCCUAUACGAACAGAGCUAAACACCAGUGGCACUCGUUGAAACCAGACUCGCAAGAAACACCGCCAGAGAGAUGGUUCGAAUUCAGGUGAAGCACGGCGGCGACGGUGGUGGCGACGACCUAACCGAGUUCCUCUACGACUGCCCAGCCACUUCCACCACCGACGAAAUCGCCAGAGUCCUCACCCAAAUUGCCAAUCUUCAAUCCACGAUUCAGCGCUUGUUCCUCCAACUCCAACCCCGUCUCUCUCUCCUUCCCCAACACCACCAAGUCACCACUCUAUUCAGAGCUUUAUCAGAAGCCAAGUCCUACGUUUCCAAGGACCAGGUUCUACAUAACAAGCCUUUGGUGAUUUCUGCACUGAAAGGCCAUGUAAAAAGCAUUGAAAGGGAAUUCAGCACAAAUUAUCAUAUAAUGGGUUUUCCAGAUUCCAAUUUACAGCAGCUCCUAACAGACUUGGAACUCCUUCAAGAGGAUACAGUUGAGCUUUUGUGGGCUCGGAAAAAGCUCCUUAGGGGCAAACAAUUAUGUUAUUAUAUUGGAAAAAAUGAGAAAACAAAGAUCAUGCUCAGGCUGCAAGCACCCAGCUCACAUCUAGCAUAUAAUUCAACGGAGCAGGAGAAGGAUCUUAGUAACAAAUAGCAUCACUUAGGGAAAGGAAUCAAGGGUGCAAAUGGAUAUCUGAUUCCCAUCAUACCAAUUUCUCAUGUUUGGUGAGGGCUUUUGAUAAUGGGAAUUUCAUUGCUAGAAUGAGCUAACCUCGUGUAGUGGCAGUCUUAUUACAAUGGGGAGAGGAUAUAAAAAUCUAUCAGCUAGUCAUGGACAACAAAGAUAAUUAAUCAGCAUAUGCAGUUUUUCUAUAUUUCUUGCUUGCGUGAGGUGCAGAGGCGUGAAUCCUUUUUGCAUCAUGAAGCACAUCUGUUUCAAGAAAUGUUAUUGAAAUAGACAUGAAACAUAAGUGGAGCUCAUCAUGUGGGUGGUGCAGUGGACUAAAUCUACUGGCAACAUUUUGGUUAUUUUGUCUUCAGAAAAUUCAUUACAUUCUAAAUUCAUGUAAAUUUUCUCUCCCUCAAAGGGCUGACCCAGAGUUUUGUUCAUCCAAAGCAUGGCACCAGAUUAUUCUAUCUUUAUGCUGAAAAAAAAAAACCCGUGUAAAGGUGAUUAUAACAGUACUUUUAAACUCUUAAGCUUUAUUGAUCUACAAGUCUUUCUUGUAAGUACUGAUCUGUAACUUAGCAUGCUCCGGCAAAAGUGAAAAGUGUGAUACAUAAUAAUGAGAUAGUAGAAUGUCUUGAAGUACUUGAAACUCUAUGCUAUACCUUAAUAAUGGGUGUAUGCGUUAAUAAUGUGUGUUUUUACUCAUCAAUGUAAUUCUUUUUCAGGGCAUCUUGAUAUUCAAAUGACAGACAGUUUGAUGUAACAAACACAGUAGAUUAUUGAAAUAUUCUUCUAGAUAUUUGAAGCCUACCUUUCCCUCCUUUAAGCCUUUAGAAAUUCAUGGAAACUGGGUGGGAAAGGUUCUUCUUGUUAUAUGCUUAUCAGUACCCCACAGUGCUCAGCAUCAUCAAAUUAGGUCUGUUUACUGCUUUGUUUGGUUCUAAUCUUGUCAAAGAUCUGGCUGACAUGUUUACUUAGUUUAAGGUUUGGUGCACCCACUUGAAAUUCAAAAGAAGGUGCGAAAGAGCUAUCCCAAAGCUUGUUUGUCUGCAUUUGGAGAUUUCCUCUUCCUUACUUUUUAUCGUCUAUUUGGGAAUCAUUAUGCUUUAAAGUGAGUUUAUAAUAAUGUAAUUUAU